rnacentral:rRNA from 1 species
GACGAACGCUGGCGGCGUGCUUAACACAUGCAAGUCGAACGGAAAGGCCCUGCUUUUGUGGGGUGCUCGAGUGGCGAACGGGUGAGUAACACGUGAGUAACCUGCCCUUGACUUUGGGAUAACUUCAGGAAACUGGGGCGAAUACCGGAUAGGAGCUCCUGCUGCAUGGUGGGGGUUGGAAAGUUUCGGCGGUUGGGGAUGGACUGGCGGCUUAUCAGCUUGUUGGUGGGGUAGUGGCUUACCAAGGCUUUGACGGAUAGCCGGCCUGAGAGGGUGACCGGCCACAUUGGGACUGAGAUACGGACCAGACUCCUACGGGAGGCAGCAGUGGGGAAUAUUGCACAAUGGGCGGAAGCCUGAUGCAGCAACGCCGCGUGCGGGAUGACGGCCUUCGGGUUGUAAACCGCUUUCGCCUGUGACGAAGCGUGAGUGACGGUAAUGGGUAAAGAAGCACCGGCUAACUACGUG